UGUGUAGGCGGUUCUUUAAGUUUGGUGUGAAAUCUCCCGGCUUAACCGGGAGGGUGCGCCGAAUACUGAGGGACUAGAGUGCGGGAGAGGAAAGUGGAAUUCCUGGUGUAGCGGUGAAAUGCGUAGAUAUCAGGAGGAACACCGGUGGUGUAGACGGCUUUCUGGACCGUAACUGACGCUGAGACACGAAAGCGUGGGUAGCAAACAGGAUUAGAUACCCUGGUAGUCCACGCCCUAAACGAUGCAUAUUUGGUGUGGGCAGUUCAUUCUGUCCGUGCCGGAGCUAACGCGUUAAAUAUGCCGCCUGGGGAGUACAGUCGCAAGGCUGAA
rnacentral:rRNA from 1 species